rnacentral:lncRNA from 1 species
CUUAAAUUUAAAAAAAUAUAAAUAAAUAAAUUAAUUAAAAAAGAAUGUUUAAAAAAAAACACCUCCAAAAAAUACAUGUACAUAAAAUAUAUCUUACAAAUGCCAUGGAAAUAACAGUGAUUCUUGAAAGAAGGCUAGUCACUCUAUGAAUGAGACAAUGUCUGGACUUCUGAUAAAGAAACGAGAUAACGGAACCAAUUUUGUUACUUACAAGAGAAUGUUGAAAAUUUCAAUUUGAAGGAGUUGGAAAUACAAAGAGCAAAUUCAGCACAGUCCCUGCUUGAAGUGAGCUUAUAUGCACUAACUGUCUCAUGGCAGAACCAUGUUAAUUAGCAGUUUGGAAUGUUACUGAAAUGUUCCCAUCCCUGUUAGCAACCAGCCCUGACCUGUGCAUGGAUGAGCUGAAGUCCUCGCAGGUGCGGGGGUUGGGGGGGAACCGCCUCGGAGAAGGGCCGUCUGUGUGCCCACACAGCCCCAGUCAUCACAGGUUUCUGUCAGAAGCUUAUUAAAAGAAACUUGUUACAAAACAGGUUAGUUCAGUUCAAUUCCAAAUACACACUCGCAAGGUGCUCACCUGUAUCUGCUGAGUAUCAACACGGUAAAGGUAAACUUUGUUUCAUCUUUUCUUGAUAAAGCUGUUUUACCCUUUUCAAGUGAGAAAAUCUCCAGGAUCAUGAGAUGGCUGGAGACCCAGAAGCUUUCUUUCUCCCCAGCAAGUACUUCUUCCUAGAAUACAUGCAGUACAGAGAUCAGCUGAGGUACAAAAAUCCCACUCCCCCGUCCCUUGAAUUUUAUUUAUUUGCUUAUUUUAUUUAUCCCUUGGAUUUCAAAGUGCAAUUCGUUUAAACUGCCUUCCACCUUCAGUUUCCAACACCUGGGAAAAUUCUCAGGGGUUCCUCAAGACUUCUGAAAACUUCCCUGGAUUUAGCUUGAAGUCCCCUUG